GCAGCUGUAGCUCAACUGGAUAGAGCAUCACUUUCCGGAGGUGGGGGUUGGGAGUUCAAGUCUCUCCAGCUGCACCA
rnacentral:tRNA from 1 species